GUUGCCAUACUGCGCAUGCGCGGCUCAAACCAUGCAGGGCAGCAGAGGAAAAGCUUGGCAGGGCACUCCUGUCCACUGCAGGACUGUUUUCACUGUACAGCCCAUUGGUCACCUGUUGAGUCAUUAUUAUCAGGCGUGACUCCUGCGUGGUUGGAAUAAAAGCCUGAAGCCACGCUGCAGAUAAGUCUGAUGACCCCUGCCCUCGAUGUUUAACAGAAGCACAACACCUAGGCUACGUCAUGAAAAAUUAUCAGUUUAUCCUAGUCAAGAUUGGACUGGAUCUCCAGCUUACUCUGGGAAUACACCCUGGAUGCAAUGCCAGUCCAUCACAGGGUACCAUGCACACACACACACACACACACACACACACACUUACUCCCCAUUCACACCUAAGGGCAAUUUAGCAUAGCCAGGUCCACCUACUGCUAUAGGAGGUAUGCUAAAUUGCCUGAGGAAACCGGAGCACCCAGCAGCCACUGUGCUGCCUGAUAUUAAUACAGUUAAUACUACUAAUAUUAAUACACUAUAUGGCCAAAAGUUUGUGGACACCUGACCAUCACACCCAUAUGUGCUUGUUGAACAUUCCAGUCCAGAUUUAUUCCCCUUUUUCUGUUACAAUAAGCUCCACUCUUCUGGGAAGUCUCUCCACUAGAUUUUGGAGCGUGGCUGUAGGGAUUUGUGUUCAUUCAGCUACAAGAGCAUUAGUGAGAUCAGGCGCUGAUGUUGGGAUGUCGAGGAGAUCUGGGGUGCAGUCAGUGUUCCAGUUCAUCAUAAGGGUGUUCAGUGGGGUUGAGGUCAGGGCUCUGUGUGGGACACUCGAGUUCUUCUACACUAACCUUAGCAAACCAUGUCUUCAUGGAGCUCGCUUUGUGCACAGGGGCAUUGUCAUGCUGCAACAUGUUUCAGCCUCUUAGUUCCAGUGAAGGGAAAUUGUAAAACUACACCAUACAAAAACAUUCUAGACAACUCUGUGCUUCCAAACAGAGUUUGGCAACAGUUUGGAGAAGACGCACAUAUGGGUGUGUUGGUCAGGUGUGCAUAAACUUUUGGCCAUAUAGUGUAACAUGCUAAUAUUAUAUUAAAGUGUACCUUUCAAAUGAAUGCCAGUAAUAAUCUAUAACCCUACUAGAUUUAUGUAACAACUCAUUCACAGUGACUUAAAUAGUAGAUACUCUAUAAUCUAAUACUAACAAUAAACAGAUUAAAAAACAUUGCUGUUAUUUAUUGUAACAAAGACAAAUGUAUAACCAUUGAGAUGAUGAAAUUUUCUGUAAGCAUACAUUUAUUCAAGUGCUUUACAUUUAAAAUAAUCACAGAAUUAGUAACAGUGCCUCUUCCUUCCCUGCACUACAUCUCUCCACCAGUAGGUGUCGCCCCCGGGCUCUGUGAAUGAAGCCUCAAUCAGCAAAAACAUUAAGCUUAGUAUGGGAAGCUUUUCCCUUUGAUCUCUUUAAAUGUUUAAGCCUUGUGGCCCUUGAUGUGGUGCAUCAUGUGUGACAAAUACCCAAAUAACGACUAAUCUUUUAAUUAAAAAAAUCCUAUAAAUUAUUAUUUUUGGAACAUUUUGUUCACCUUGACAUGUAUUAGUUUGAAUUUUACAUCAAACAUUUUAAUC